rnacentral:rRNA from 1 species
UGGGGAAUAUUGCACAAUGGGCGGAAGCCUGAUGCAGCGACGCCGCGUGGGGGAUGACGGCCUUCGGGUUGUAAACCUCUUUCAGCAGGGACGAAGCGUUUGUGACGGUACCUGCAGAAGAAGCGCCGGCUAACUCCGUGCCAGCAGCCGCGGUAAUACGGGGGGGGCGAGCGUUGUUCGGAAUCACUGGGCGUAAAGGGCGCGUAGGCGGCCCGCACAAGUCUGCGGUGAAAACCUCCGGCUUAACCGGGGGCCGGCCGUGGAAACUGUCGGGCUGGAGGCUGGGAGAGGGAAGCGGAAUUCCCGGUGUAGCGGUGAAAUGCGUAGAGAUCGGGAGGAACACCGGUGGCGAAGGCGGCUUCCUGGACCAGCCCUGACGCUGAGGCGCGAAAGCUAGGGGAGCAAACAG